AAUUCCUAUUUAUUUUAGUUCCUAAAGCACCAAGACGAUCUACAAUUUCUUUGAGGCGUCUCUCGAUAUGCUAGAGUCUGAGAUCCAUCUGUUGCUCUGAACAUCGCUCCCAUCAUUGCAACGUUUUGUCCCCAUGGUAAAGUGACGCAACGUGAAGCUAAAAUAGAAACACACUCCAUAUACAAGAGUGAACACAAGGAGAGAAACCUGUGCUGAAUUUUUAUUAAUAAUAAUAAUCUGUCUCUAAAUGACAUGUAAAUAAGGGUAUUUAUAGAUAUUAAUCUCCUAAACCUAAUAGGAAUGUAAAACUACUAAAUAGGAAUUUUAAAUAAACUAAAAUACAAUGAGAAGAUAUAAACUAAAUUCUAGAUAAAGUAGGAAACAAAUGAAUCCUAAAUAAAAUAGGAAACUUCUUAAUUUAUUCUAAUUUAGUUUUCACAGCAAGAUGGCCUAAGUGAAAUUUGCUCCCCAG
rnacentral:misc_RNA from 1 species